rnacentral:tRNA from 1 species
GCAAUGGUGGUUUAGUGGUAGAAGUCUUACCGUCCAUAUGGGAGACCCAGGUUCAAUUCCUGGCCAAUGCA